rnacentral:rRNA from 1 species
UGGGGAAUAUUGCACAAUGGGCGCAAGCCUGAUGCAGCCAUGCCGCGUGUAUGAAGAAGGCCUUCGGGUUGUAAAGUACUUUCAGCGGGGAGGAAGGUGUUGAGGUUAAUAACCUCAGCAAUUGACGUUACCCGCAGAAGAAGCACCGGCUAACUCCGUGCCAGCAGCCGCGGUAAUACGGAGGGUGCAAGCGUUAAUAGGAAUUACUGGGCGUAAAGCGCACGCAGGCGGUCUGUCAAGUCGGAUGUGAAAUCCCCGGGCUCAACCUGGGAACUGCAUUCGAAACUGGCAGGCUAGAGUCUUGUAGAGGGGGGUAGAAUUCCAGGUGUAGCGGUGAAAUGCGUAGAGAUCUGGAGGAAUACCGGUGGCGAAGGCGGCCCCCUGGACAAAGACUGACGCUCAGGUGCGAAAGCGUGGGGAGCAAACA